rnacentral:rRNA from 1 species
AUUGAACGCUGGCGGCAUGCUUUACACAUGCAAGUCGAACGGUAACAGGCCUUCGGGUGCUGACGAGUGGCGAACGGGUGAGUAAUGCAUCGGAACGUGCCCAGAGGUGGGGGAUAACGCAGCGAAAGCUGUGCUAAUACCGCAUGUGAUCUGAGGAUGAAAGCGGGGGACCAGGCAGCAAUGUUUGGCCUCGCGCCUUUGGAGCGGCCGAUGUCAGAUUAGGUAGUUGGUGGGGUAAAGGCCUACCAAGCCGACGAUCUGUAGCUGGUCUGAGAGGACGAUCAGCCACACUGGGACUGAGACACGGCCCAGACUCCUACGGGAGGCAGCAGUGGGGAAUUUUGGACAAUGGGCGCAAGCCUGAUCCAGCAAUGCCGCGUGCGGGAAGAAGGCCUUCGGGUUGUAAACCGCUUUUGUACGGAACGAAAAGGCUCUGGCUAAUACCUGGGGCUGAUGACGGUACCGUAAGAAUAAGCACCGGCUAACUACGUG